AAUAGAUCAAUAACCCAAGUUUUUGUAGGCAUGGAAAAUAUCUUUGAUGUGCCAACCUGAUAAUCUGGUAUUUCUUGACACGUAUACCCUCUGGAUUUUUAUUUAUUUUUUUCAACAAUUCUGUCUCCAGCCAUAUUGUCUAUAAAUACAUAUGUGCGCCUUUGCUAUUGCAUCAUUCCCAUAAAACACAAAAUAUAAAAUCACGUUACGAUGGACUUGCAAAACCAAGUUGCCAGCAUGAGGAAGUCCCUCUUUGAUCAGGUUAUGUGUAUAUAUAUAUAUAUAUAUAUAUAUAUAUAUAAAUAUAUGCAUCUUCUUUCUAUACCCACCUACAAUAAUUAAGUAAAGGAAAAAUGUAAUUAUAUAAAUAUACCCAUUAUAUAACUAAUGAAAAAUUAUAUAAAUAUAUAUCUUCUUUCUAUGUUUUAUACAAUAUAGAUGACAUAUACCCAUUAUAUGAUUAAUGGAAAAUGG
rnacentral:lncRNA from 1 species